rnacentral:rRNA from 1 species
GACGAACGCUGGCGGCGUGCUUAACACAUGCAAGUCGAACGAGAGGAGAAGGAAGCUUGCUUCUUUCAAAUCUAGUGGCAAACGGGUGAGUAACACGUAAACAACCUGCCUUCAGGAUGGGGACAACAGACGGAAACGACUGCUAAAUACCGAAUACGUUCCUUAGGUCGCAUGACUUUAGGAAGAAAGGGUGGCCUCUACUUGUAAGCUAUCGCCUGAAGAGGGGUUUGCGUCUGAUUAGGUAGUUGGUGAGUAACGGCCCACCAAGCCGACGAUCAGUAGCCGGUCUGAGAGGAUGAACGGCCACACUGGAACUGAGACACGGUCCAGACUCCUAC